UCUUAGUAGUCCCACUCUUUUACCCAUUUCAAGGUUCUCUCUCAAAUUAAACUUCUUCUCUGCUACAUGCAAGUUCCCAUCACUGAACUAGGGAAUACUAGAUACUGUUCAAAGCUUAUUCAUUUUAGGGAUUAAGAUUUUGUGAAGGUUGUUUGUUUCGUUUAAUUUGUCUCAAGUUUAGCUCUCAGUUGUGGUAAGUUUUUUCUCCAAUUAAUCUUUUCUCACGGCACUUGAUUGUUUCUAAAUUUUUGCUGGUGUCAGUAUUUUAUCUGAUCUUCACAUGCAUGUCUAGAAAUUGAUACUCCAGCGCGUGUGAUUUCGGUCAAUUGUUAUUUGAUGUCUCCUCUGAUUAUUUCUCUAAUGGCGUUUGCUUGAGAAAAUUACUGACCAAAAUACUCUAAUCGCAUGUUGUCGGUGUUCUCUUUUGUUACAAAUUAUUUACUGCGAAGUUAAUCUAUUUUAGAGAAAUUUGAAGUAUCAAAAUCCUUUUUUUGACCAUUGAUAUGUGUCAAAUUAUGAUAUUUAGGUGACACCUCAAGCCUAGGUUUUCCCCUACAAGGAUGAAAAGUCAUGUUGCUUAAGG
rnacentral:lncRNA from 1 species